rnacentral:rRNA from 1 species
UUAUGCGUUGUUGGGUAGGGGAGCGUUCUGUAAGCCUGUGAAGGUGUACUGUGAGGUAUGCUGGAGGUAUCAGAAGUGCGAAUGCUGACAUAAGUAACGAUAAAGCGGGUGAAAAGCCCGCUCGCCGGAAGACCAAGGGUUCCUGUCCAACGUUAAUCGGGGCAGGGUGAGUCGACCCCUAAGGCGAGGCCGAAAGGCGUAGUCGAUGGGAAACAGGUUAAUAUUCCUGUACUUGGUGUUACUGCGAAGGGGGGACGGAGAAGGCUAUGUUGGCCGGGCGACGGUUGUCCCGGUUUAAGCGUGUAGGCUGGUUUUCCAGGCAAAUCCGGAAAAUCAAGGCUGAGGCGUGAUGACGAGGCACUACGGUGCUGAAGCAACAAAUGCCCUGCUUCCAGGAAAAGCCUCUAAGCAUCAGGUAACAUCAAAUCGUACCCCAAACCGACACAGGUGGUCAGGUAGAGAAUACCAAGGCGCUUGAGAGAACUCGGGUGAAGGAACUAGGCAAAAUGGUGCCGUAACUUCGGGAGAAGGCACGCUGAUAUGUAGGUGAAGCGACUUGCUCGUGGAGCUGAAAUCAGUCGAAGAUACCAGCUGGCUGCAACUGUUUAUUAAAAACACAGCACUGUGCAAACACGAAAGUGGACGUAUACGGUGUGACGCCUGCCCGGUGCCGGAAGGUUAAUUGAUGGGGUAGCGCAAGCGAAGCUCUUGAUCGAAGCCCCGGUAAACGGCGGCCGUAACAAUAACGGUCCUAAGGUAGCGAAAUUCCUUGUCGGGUAAGUUCCGACCUGCACGAAUGGCGUAAUGAUGGCCAGGCUGUCUCCACCCGAGACUCAGUGAAAUUGAACUCGCUGUGAAGAUGCAGUGUACCCGCGGCAAGACGGAAAGACCCCGUGAACCUUUACUAUAGCUUGACACUGAACAUUGAGCCUUGAUGUGUAGGAUAGGUGGGAGGCUUUGAAGUGUGGACGCCAGUCUGCAUGGAGCCGACCUUGAAAUACCACCCUUUAAUGUUUGAUGUUCUAACGUUGACCCGUAAUCCGGGUUGCGGACAGUGUCUGGUGGGUAGUUUGACUGGGGCGGUCUCCUCCUAAAGAGUAACGGAGGAGCACGAAGGUUGGCUAAUCCUGGUCGGACAUCAGGAGGUUAGUGCAAUGGCAUAAGCCAGCUUGACUGCGAGCGUGACGGCGCGAGCAGGUGCGAAAGCAGGUCAUAGUGAUCCGGUGGUUCUGAAUGGAAGGGCCAUCGUUCAACGGAUAAAAGGUACUCCGGGGAUAACAGGCUGAUACCGCCCAAGAGUUCAUAUCGACGGCGGUGUUUGGCACCUCGAUGUCGGCUCAUCACAUCCUGGGGCUGAAGUAGGUCCCAAGGGUAUGGCUGUUCGCCAUUUAAAGUGGUACGCGAGCUGGGUUUAGAACGUCGUGAGACAGUUCGGUCCCUAUCUGCCGUGGGCGCUGGAGAACUGAGGGGGGCUGCUCCUAGUACGAGAGGACCGGAGUGGACGCAUCACUGGUGUUCGGGUUGUCAUGCCAAUGGCACUGCCCGGUAGCUAAAUGCGGAAGAGAUAAGUGCUGAAAGCAUCUAAGCACGAAACUUGCCCCGAGAUGAGUUCUCCCUGACUCCUUGAGAGUCCUGAAGGAACGUUGAAGACGACGACGUUGAUAGGCCGGGUGUGUAAGCGCAGCGAUGCGUUGAGCUAACCGGUACUAAUGAACCGUGAGGCUUAACC